rnacentral:rRNA from 1 species
CCUACGGGAGGCAGCAGUGAGGAAUAUUGGUCAAUGGGCGUAAGCCUGAACCAGCCAAGUCGCGUGAGGGAUGAAGGUUCUAUGGAUCUUAAACCUCUUUUAUAAGGGAGUAAAGUGCGGGACGUGUCCCGUUUUGUAUUGACCUUAUGAAUAAGGAUCGGCUAACUCCGUGCCAGCAGCCGCGGUAAUACGGAGGAUCCGAGCGUUAUCCGGAUUUAUUGGGGUUAAAGGGUGCGUAGGCGGCCUUUUAAGUCAGAGGUUAAAGACUGUGGCUCAACCAUAGAAUUGCAGUUGAAACUGGGAGGCUUGAGUAUGUUUGAGGAAGGUGGAAUGCGUGGUGUAGCGGUGAAAGGCUUAGAUAUCAGGAAGAACCCCGAUGGCGAAGGCAGCCUGCCAAGCUAUGACUGACGCUGAUGCACGAAAGCGUGGGUAUCGAACAGGAUUAGAUACCCUGGUAGUC